GCCCUGCGUGGUCCCGUUACGUGUGCCAUCAUGUUUCGUGCGCUCCCAUUACUGGUCAUACCUCGCACCUCACCGCGUGGCCUCUGUAGUUCCAGAGCUCGCGAGGGCCAGGGCCGUUGGCGGCGGUUGGAACGAAACGAUGAGUGCCUCCUCGUGGCCCCAGAAUGGAAUGCCGCCGUCGGUAGGGGUCUGCCGGGCAUAAAGGGGCCUUCGGAACCCCACCAGAGUCACAGCCAAGGAGGGCAGCGGGGCGCACCAGGCCGAAGGCUCACGCCACAGGGAGGGCAGCUAGGACAUGGGGGGAAGCGCGUUAAACCAGGGAGUCCUGGAAAGGGACGACGCCCCCGGCCAGUCCCUGUACGAGCGGUUAAGUCAGAGGAUGCUGGACAUCUCGGGGGACCGGGGCGUGCUGAAGGACGUCAUCCGAGAAGGAGCUGGAGACCUAGUGGCGCCUGAUGCUUCGGUGCUAGUGAAAUACUCGGGAUACCUGGAACACAUGGACAGACCCUUCGAUUCUAAUUACUUUAGGAAAACUCCUCGGCUAAUGAAACUUGGAGAGGAUAUUACACUGUGGGGCAUGGAGCUGGGCCUUCUGAGCAUGCGGAGAGGAGAGCUGGCCAGGUUUCUGUUCAAACCGAACUACGCCUAUGGAACGCUGGGCUGCCCUCCCUUGAUCCCCCCAAACACCACUGUCCUGUUUGAGAUUGAGCUGCUUGACUUCCUAGACUGUGCUGAGUCAGACAAGUUUUGUGCUCUCUCAGCUGAGCAGCAAGACCAAUUUCCACUUCAGAAGGUCCUGAAAGUGGCAGCUACGGAACGGGAGUUUGGCAACUACCUUUUCCGCCAGAAUCGUUUCUAUGAUGCCAAAGUGAGAUAUAAAAGGGCCCUGUUGCUUCUGCGCCGGCGAUCAGCACCCCCUGAAGAGCAGCACCUGGUGGAGGCCGCCAAGCUUCCUGUUCUCCUGAACCUGUCCUUUACAUACCUGAAGCUAGACCGACCCACCAUAGCCCUGUGCUAUGGAGAGCAGGCUUUGAUCAUUGACCAAAAGAAUGCCAAGGCCCUCUUCAGGUGUGGACAGUUCUCUCCUUGGGACAGGCUUGUCUUCUCCUGACUGAGUAUCAAAAGGCCCGGGAUUUUCUAGUUCGAGCCCAGAAGGAGCAACCCUUCAAUCAUGACAUCAAUAAUGAGCUGAAGAAACUGGCUAGCUGUUACAGGGACUAUGUGGAUAAAGAGAAAGAAAUGUGGCACCGCAUGUUCGCGCCCUGUGGUGAUGGUUCUACAGCAGGAGAAAGUUGAAGGUUCUUCACCUACCAACGAGGGGAGAGAGCUGUGGUUCUCCAUCGUUGGGGGAGUGGAAGGGAGCUCCCAGCGCAGCCGUGGCAGCCACCUUCCAGGAGCAGGGGCUGGAAUGUCCUGUGGCCGCAUCUCUCAUGGACGCGGCUGAAACGUGUUUUCACAGGUGCUGUUUUCUGUUUUCCGUGUUCGUAACAGAAGGGAGGGGAAAGCGCAGCUACUGACAAGUAGAACACUGCUACUUUUUUUAAGGCAGUUUCUUGUUUUUUUAGACGGAAUUAGUCCUUGGCUUCCCUCCCAGUCCCAGCCCUGCUUCCGGCUGCGAAUGUCCCUGAGUCAACACCAAUAGAGAUUGCUUUGUGUAUUUUGUAGGGUUCUCUGUUUUGAAGACAGAAUUAUGUUACAAAUGUUUUUGUUGUAAAUAAAUAAAACACUUCCUUGUCCUUGCAA